GACGAACGCUGGCGGCGUGCUUAACACAUGCAAGUCGAACGGUGAACCCCUUUCGGGGGGGGGAUCAGUGGCGAACGGGUGAGUAACACGUGAGCAACCUGCCCCUAGCUCUGGCAUAACUCCGGGAAACCGGGGCUAAUUCCGGAUACGAACCUGGUUGGCAUCUUCUGGGUUGGAAAGUUUUUCGGCUAGGGAUGGGC
rnacentral:rRNA from 1 species